AGGGUUUCUACUAUGAUGCAUUUUAUGGUGACUUGGGCUUGAAUCAGGACCACUUUAAGUCAAUUGAUGCAGGGGCAGCGAAAGCUGUUGUGGAAAAGCAGCCUUUUGACGCAUUGAAGUAACAAAAGAACAGGCUCUUGAGAUGUUUUCUGAUAAUAGUUUCAAGGUUGAGAUCAUCAAUGACCUACCUGCCGACAAAACUAUUACAGUAUAUAGAUGCGGUCCCUUGGUUGACU